UCGAAUAAUCGUCCGGUUUCGAUUUUUCACCGUCCGAGGUAAGUCAACUAGCAAUUUAAUGUUAUUAAUUAAUAUAUAUACAUAUAUAUUGUAUUUGGAUGAGCUCAAAUUGAAAGUAUAUAGCUUGAAUUUAGUCAAAGUAAAAAUGAUAUGUAUAUAUAUAAAUAUAUGAUUAAUGUUCGAAUAUACAUAUAUGUAUACACAUAUAUGUAAGCUCUUGAAUUUAGUUGAAGAAUGAAUAUGGCUUAUGUAUAAAUUCUUGGUUAUUAAUCGAAAGGUAUGUAUAGUGUAUAUAUAUAAGGUUCGAAUGUAUAUAUAUAUGUAAGUACAUAUAUGUACAAACUAUUGGAUUGAUUGAAAGUAUAUAUGUUAUAUUUGCAUAAGUAGUUUUGAAAUGGUAUGUACAUGUGAGUUGAAAUUUAUAUGUAUAUGAUAGAAUUGAAUGAGCACAUAAAUAUAUAUUUACAUGUAUAUGUUAUUGUAUUGAGUUUGGGUAUAAUUUUUAUAUAAGUUUAUAUGAAGUUCGGAAAUACAAAUAUAACUGAAUAUGUUUUUGUGUUAAAUUUAGGUAUGACUAUUAUAUAAAGUAUGUAUGAGACUCGAAUAUAUACAAACUUAUAUAUGUACAUGUUUAUGUAUUGAAUUUAGGUAUGAUAAUUAUAUAAGUUUAUGUGAGAUUCAAUUAUGUAAUUAUAUUCAUGUGAAGCCUUUGAAUGGAGUUGAAGGUACAAAAUUGUUAGCUUGGAUUACUAUAAGAUGUUCGAAUGUAUGAUAUUAAUAGUAGGCCUUAAUGUAUUAAGUUAUAUAUCUGUAUAUGAUCAUAUGUAUAAUUAAGUUAUUGAGCUGGAUUCAAUAUCUGAACUUUAAAACCUAUGUGGUUUAAAGGUAUAAUUUAUAUAUAUUGAGCUAAAUUUUUAUACAUGGAAUCUUAUAUACAUAUACAUUUUGAAAGUGAUUUGUAUUUAUAUAAAUUAAGUGUUCAGGCUCGGUGCCUAGCAGGCUUGAUGCCAGUGAUAUGUUUCAGACUUUAAGUCUAGCAGGCUUGUCGCCGGUGAAACAUUUCAGACUUUAAGUCUAGCAGGCUUGACGCCGGUGAAACAUUUCAGACUUUAAGUCUAGCAGGCUACGCCGGUGAAACAUUUCAGCCUUUAAGUCUAGUAGGCUUGACGCCGGUGAAACAUUUCAGACUUUAUGUCUAGCAGGCUAAGUGCCAGUGUAUUGAAUCAGGCCUUAAGCCUAGCAGGUUUUGUG
rnacentral:lncRNA from 1 species